rnacentral:rRNA from 1 species
GACAGAGGGUGCAAACGUUGCUCGGAAUCAUUGGGCGUAAAGAGCGUGUAGGCGGUCAGGUAGGUCAGCUGUGAAAACUCGAGGCUCAACCUCGAGACGCCGGUUGAAACCAUCUGACUAGAGUCCGGAAGAGGAGAGUGGAAUUCCUGGUGUAGCGGUGAAAUGCGCAGAUAUCAGGAAGAACACCCGUGGCUAAGGCGGCUCUCUAGUACGGUACUGACGCUGAGACGCGAAAGCGUGGGGAGCGAACAGG